rnacentral:rRNA from 1 species
GAUGAACGCUGGCGGCGUGCCUAAUACAUGCAAGUCGAGCGAACAGACGAGGAGCUUGCUCCUCUGACGUCAGCGGCGGACGGGUGAGUAACACGUGGAUAACCUACCUAUAAGACUGGGAUAACUUCGGGAAACCGGAGCUAAUACCGGAUAAUAUAUUGAACCGCAUGGUUCAAUAGUGAAAGACGGUUUUGCUGUCACUUAUAGAUGGAUCCGCGCCGCAUUAGCUAGUUGGUAAGGUAACGGCUUACCAAGGCGACGAUGCGUAGCCGACCUGAGAGGGUGAUCGGCCACACUGGAACUGAGACACGGUCCAGACUCCUACGGGAGGCAGCAGUAGGGAAUCUUCCGCAAUGGGCGAAAGCCUGACGGAGCAACGCCGCGUGAGUGAUGAAGGUCUUCGGAUCGUGAAACUCUGUUAUUAGGGAAGAACAAAUGUGUAAGUAACUAUGCACGUCUUGACGGUACCUAAUCAGAAAGCCACGGCUAACUACGUG